rnacentral:lncRNA from 1 species
AUUAAGGGAUUAAUAUUAAUGGGCUGAGAUACCAUCUUCCUUAGGUCUCUCUAUUCGCCCUUACUAUUUCUCUCUCUUCUCCCUUACUACUUCUCUCUCUCCCUUACUACUUAUUUUUCGUCGUCUUCCGCCGCCGCGUCGAAGCCACUCGUCGUCGUCCUCUUCCACCGCCGCCGCGAGCAAGCUAUGUUUUCAGGCUGAUAGGUGACUUUCUAUCUCCAACUCUGACAGUCGAAUACGUGAUUUCUCUAUCCAACUCUCUCACAACUGAAAGGAUUUUGGUUUCUCUCUCUAAGGUCUGGUUCUAAUUUCUGUUAAUUCUCAUUCUACUAAUUAAUUGUCAAUAUGAUCAUAUAUAUACGCUAUGUUUCUAACAGAAUGGGGUAUUGAUUGUUUGGAUUUGUGUUGUUUUUAUGUUUUGUAUAGAAUGGUGAUACAAGGAAGAAGGAUGGAAAAAGGAAAAGAAUCACAGAGUGUGAUUCUAUUUAGGACUUGAAGAAAUUUGUUUGGGUUUGUGCAGUUGGAUUCUGAUUUUGAUGUUCUUGUAGUUAAGACAGAAGCUCAAGUUCAUAGCCAGAAGAUAUUUUCAACCCAAAAUUUUUUUAAAG